GUGCCCUGUGAUUACUAAAAGACGCGUUAUUACGAGGACAAAUGCUGGCUACUCGCCCCCCCUCCCUACAUCCACACCCAUUCUUGCCCCAAUUCUUCCCUUCUAUUUCUCUACUCUCUCCCCUCUUUCUGAGUAACCAGUGUCCACUGAGCACGAUUAUGAGAUCUGAGGGCUU
rfam:Xenopus laevis strain J chromosome 4L, whole genome shotgun sequence.